rnacentral:rRNA from 1 species
AUUGAACGCCGGCGGCAUGCCUUACACAUGCAAGUCGAACGGUAACAGGUCUUCGGAUGCUGACGAGUGGCGAACGGGUGAGUAAUACAUCGGAACGUGCCUAGUAGUGGGGGAUAACUACUCGAAAGAGUGGCUAAUACCGCAUGAGAUCUACGGAUGAAAGCAGGGGAUCGCAAGACCUUGUGCUACUAGAGCGGCCGAUGGCAGAUUAGGUAGUUGGUGGGAUAAAAGCUUACCAAGCCGACGAUCUGUAGCUGGUCUGAGAGGACGAUCAGCCACACUGGGACUGAGACACGGCCAGACUCCUACGGGAGGCAGCAGUGGGGAAUUUUGGACAAUGGGCGCAAGCCCGAUCCAGCAAUGCCGCGUGCAGGAUGAAGGCCUUCGGGUUGUAAACUGCUUUUGUACGGAACGAAAAGCCCCGGGUUAAUACCCUGGGGUCAUGACGGUACCGUAAGAAUAAGCACCGGCUAACUACGUGCCAGCAGCCGCAGUAA